rnacentral:snRNA from 1 species
AGCUUUGCGCAGUGGCAGUAUCGUGGCCAGUGGGGUUUAUCCGAGGCGCGAUUAUUGCUAAUUGAAAACUGACACAAGAAGAAAUAGAAAAUUUGACCAGUUCAAUGUGCUACCCUAAGGAU